rnacentral:rRNA from 1 species
GAUGAACGCUGGCGGCGUGCCUAAUACAUGCAAGUCGAGCGAACAGACGAGGAGCUUGCUCCUCUGACGUUAGCGGCGGACGGGUGAGUAACACGUGGAUAGCCUACCUAUAAGACUGGGAUAACUUCGGGAAACCGGAGCUAAUACCGGAUAAUAUAUUGAACCGCAUGGUUCAAUAGUGAAAGACGGUUUUGCUGUCACUUAUAGAUGGAUCCGCGCCGCAUUAGCUAGUUGGUAAGGUAACGGCUUACCAAGGCAACGAUGCGUAGCCGACCUGAGAGGGUGAUCGGCCACACUGGAACUGAGACACGGUCCAGACUCCUACGGGAGGCAGCAGUAGGGAAUCUUCCGCAAUGGGCGAAAGCCUGACGGAGCAACGCCGCGUGAGUGAUGAAGGUCUUCGGAUCGUAAAACUCUGUUAUUAGGGAAGAACAAAUGUGUAAGUAACUAUGCACGUCGUGACGGUACCUAAUCAGAAAGCCACGGCUAACUACG